CGUCUUUACACUGCCGAGUCGGGUUAAAAUGCUGUAGCAGACCCAGGGUAGAACUAGUGAUGAUCAAUUUCCACAGAUGUUCUUUAUGCACCUUUUGCUCGGGCCGCCGUAUACAACCAAUGUUGAAUAUGGCCGAUCUUAUCGCACUCCUCCUGAGACUCCUGCCCCCCGCUGCUGCUCCGGCAGUCCCUGCUACUACCAAUGGCUAACCUGGAUGGGAGACCAUACCUCUCCAUACCCGCACCAAUCAGGAACUCCAGGAAUCAGUCUACAGUCCAGAUAUCACAUAAAUAGACUGAAAUCAAUAUAGGCUAAUGAUAUCCACCAUGGGAAAUCUCUGUUUCUUCAUCUAUAUGUCAAAAUCUGGUCAGAAUUAUAGCUUACUUCAGUUCUAAUUCUUUCCUUUUAUCCCUGUUAGUUGAAAAAUGGUUACAGUAGAAUAAACUUCAUCUUUA